AACUCUCAACAAUGGAUAUCUUGGCUCCCGUAUCGAUGAAGAACGCAGCGAAAUGCGAUACCUAGUGUGAAUUGCAGAAUUCCGUGAACCAUCGAGUUUUUGAACGCACAUUGCGCUGUUGUUUUGUGGCCCUGGUCGAGCAUUCUUGUUUGUCUAGGGUUGCCAGCAGCAUGUCUGGCUCAGUGUCG
rnacentral:rRNA from 1 species